UAAUCAGUCUGAUAUUUUUGAUUGAAAGGACUGUCAUUACUUGUAUCUGAAUAAUUGAUGUGUUCAUAUCUCCAAAUCUCAAUAGCUGGUGAGUUUAGCUUUGAACAAUUAAUUCUGGGGACAACAAGUUCAGAAAGAAAUGCAAACAAACACAAAAUUUACACAGAAUUGCUAAGGGUCUUUUUAAAAAUUUCUGUUUAAUUUCAAAGAAAGUAUGUCUAAAACUGAAAUGCCUAUGGAAUAUUUCCUCCAAUAUAAUCUUACUUAAAAGCCUUACCAGCAAUAUUUUAAGGAGGCAUUGUUGAAUAGGUCUGCAGCAGCUUCUUAUGAGCCUGUGAAUUUCUAAUGUACUUGGGAAGAUCAUCCUUCCACAAACAGCCCAUUGGAGUUGAGUCUAAGGUUCAUCCAGGGUUCAGAUGCUUCAUUACCACCAGGCAGGAAAUGAGCAGGUUCUGGGCAAGAUGACUUUGUAGGCCCUGAUCUUAGAACAGCUGGAUGGGAGGAAGAAGCAUGAAUCUCAAGGAAUACGUAGUAAGCGAGAGAUUCAUGGCAGAAAAAACUUCAUAUGAGACCAAGACAAAUUUGA